AACGAACGCUGGCGGCAUGCCUAACACAUGCAAGUCGAACGAGACCUUCGGGUCUAGUGGCGCACGGGUGCGUAACGCGUGGGAACCUGCCCUUAGGUUCGGAAUAACUCCCCGAAAGGGGUGCUAAUACCGGAUAAUGUCUUCGGACCAAAGAUUUAUCGCCUUUGGAUGGGCCCGCGUUGGAUUAGCUAGUUGGUAGGGUAAAAGCCUACCAAGGCGACGAUCCAUAGCUGGUCUGAGAGGAUGAUCAGCCACACUGGGACUGAGACACGGCCCAGACUCCUACGGGAGGCAGCAGUAGGGAAUAUUGGACAAUGGGCGAAAGCCUGAUCCAGCAAUGCCGCGUGAGUGAUGAAGGCCUUAGGGUUGUAAAGCUCUUUUACCCGGGAUGAUAAGGACAGUACCGGGAGAAUAAGCUCCGGCUAACUCCGU
rnacentral:rRNA from 1 species